rnacentral:rRNA from 1 species
UACAGAGGUCUCAAGCGUUGUUCGGAUUCAUUGGGCGUAAAGGGUGCGUAGGUGGCGUCGUAAGUCGGGUGUGAAAUUUCGGAGCUUAACUCCGAAACUGCAUUCGAUACUGCGGUGCUUGAGGACUGGAGAGGAGACUGGAAUUUACGGUGUAGCAGUGAAAUGCGUAGAGAUCAUGAGGAAGACCAGUGGCGAAGGCGGGUCUCUGGACAGUUCCUGACACUGAGACACGAAGGCCAGGGAGCAAACGGG